AUUGAACGCUGGCGGAAUGCUUUACACAUGCAAGUCGAGCGGCAGCACGGGGGCAACCCUGGUGGCGAGCGGCGAACGGGUGAGUAAUACAUCGGAACAUGCCCAGUCGUGGGGGAUAACACUUCGAAAGAAGUGCUAAUACCGCAUACGUCCUGAGGGAGAAAGCGGGGGAUCUUCGGACCUCGCGCGAUUGGAGUGGCCGAUGUCAGAUUAGCUAGUUGGUGGGGUAAAGGCCUACCAAGGCAACGAUCUGUAGCUGGUCUGAGAGGAUGAGCAGCGAAACGGGGACUGUGAGACGGCCCAGACGCCUACGGGAGGCAGCAGUGGGGAAUUGUGGACAAUGGGGGCAACCCUGAUCCAGCCAUUCCGCGUGAGUGAAGAAGGCCUUCGGGUUGUAAAGCUCUUUCGGCAGGAACGAAACGGCGAGCUCUAACAUAGCUUGCUAAUGACGGUACCUGAAGAAGAAGCACCGGCUAACUACGUGCCAGCCGCCGCCGUAACAC
rnacentral:rRNA from 1 species